GUUUUCAAUAACCUAUCUAUCCCUAGUUUCGGUUACUAAAGAUAGACAAAUCUAUAUUUUUGUCCUUACUUACGUUCCAAUAACCUAUCGACGGGCAGCAGUUCCUAUCGGAUUUAUCUAUCCAUCGUCGGGAGGACGGAUAGCCUGCUAAAGAUAGAACGCUCAUACAAAUCGUGCUUACUUCCGUUUCAAUAUGAGUUUUAAGUAACUCUCCGGUAGGCGGCGCUAUCUCUAGUAUGGGCAUUCGCUUAUCUGUCAAAAUCGGCCGGUUACAUGUUUAUCUUUCGAAAGUAAAUCGCUAUAAUUUAAUAAUUGUUUCUCUUCAUAUUGGCAUAUUGUAGCAGUGAUGAUAGUGAUAUGGAAUUAUUUCAAAUGAUAAUGGAUUGUGAUGCAGAUAGUGAUAGUGAGGCCGAUAUCAUAUGGUUAGGAAAAUAAAGAUCGUCUGAAUUACAUGGCGAAGAUCAAUAAUUACGAAUUUGACUAUAGAUUUCUGAGCAAAGGUGUUGUGAAUGAAUUGAUUAAUUUAAUGAGACCAUAUUUGAGUGUAACGUCAAAAAGAUUCAAAUAUAGGAGAGGAAUUUAGAAAUAGAAAAAGAGUAUUUUGAAUGUGUAAUUUGUGUGCAAUGCAUCAUUGAUGUUUCAAAAUGUUGUUGCUUGAUGGCCUGGGUCUACUCAUGAUACAACUAUAAUUAACCAUUCCGAUUGAAAAGAUGCAUUGGUGUUUGUAAAAGAAGACUCCCUGUAUAUCAUUGAAAAGUAGAUUAAAACUAGAAAAUAUGCAAGCUGUUAUUAUAGCUGCCAUGCUGCAUAAUAUCGUCAGAAGUAUGACUUUAGAAGAAUUAGAAUCAGAAAUUUCAGUCGCAGAUACAUUACAGGAAAAUAAUAUAAUUGUUCGUAACAAUUUUUCAAAACUUACAUCUGAAAUACAACUAUGUACUUAUAAAUAAUUGCUUCCAAAGAUAAUUUAUAAAAUAAACUCCAAAGAUAA